rnacentral:rRNA from 1 species
UACGUAGGGUGCAAGCGUUAAUCGGAAUUACUGGGCGUAAAGCGUGCGCAGGCGGUUUUGUAAGUCUGUCGUGAAAUCCCCGGGCUCAACCUGGGAAUUGCGAUGGAGACUGCAAGGCUAGAAUCUGGCAGAGGGGGGGUAGAAUUCCACGUGUAGCAGUGAAAUGCGUAGAGAUGUGGAGGAACACCGAUGGCGAAGGCAGCCCCCCUGGGUCAAGAUUGACGCUCAUGCACGAAAGCGUGGGGAGCAAACGAGGAUUAGAACCCGGAGUA